rnacentral:rRNA from 1 species
UGUCUUCGGAUAUAGAGACCGGCGCACGGGUGCGUAACGCGUAUGCAAUCUACCUUUUACAGGGGAAUAGCCCAGAGAAAUUUGGAUUAAUGCCCCAUAGUAUAAUUGAAUGGCAUCAUUUAAUUAUUAAAGUCACAACGGUAAAAGAUGAGCAUGCGUCCCAUUAGUUAGUUGGUAAGGUAACGGCUUACCAAGACAAUGAUGGGUAGGGGUCCUGAGAGGGAGAUCCCCCACACUGGUACUGAGACACGGACCAGACUCCUACGGGAGGCAGCAGUGAGGAAUAUUGGACAAUGGGCGCAAGCCUGAUCCAGCCAUGCCGCGUGCAGGAAGACGGUCCUAUGGAUUGUAAACUGCUUUUAUACAGGAAGAAACACUCCGACGUGUCGGAGCUUGACGGUACUGUAGGAAUAAGGAUCGGCUAACUCCGUGCCAGCAGCCGCGGUAAUACGGAGGAUCCAAGCGUUAUCCGGAAUCAUUGGGUUUAAAGGGUCCGUAGGCGGUUUAAUAAGUCAGUGGUGAAAUCUGGUCGCUCAACGAUCAAACGGCCAUUGAUACUGUUAGACUUGAAUUAUAAGGAAGUAACUAGAAUAUGUAGUGUAGCGGUGAAAUGCUUAGAUAUUACAUGGAAUACCAAUUGCGAAGGCAGGUUACUACUUAUGGAUUGACGCUGAUGGACGAAAGCGUGGGGAGCGAACAGGAUUAGAUACCCUGGUAGUCCACGCCGUAAACGAUGGAUACUAGCUGUUGGAAGCAAUUUCAGUGGCUAAGCGAAAGUGAUAAGUAUCCCACCU